AUGCUCACCGGCCUCAGCCCCGCGCCCGCCGUCAGCGUCGAGACGCAGGCCCUCCUGGUGGGAUCCCACCGCAUCCCCUGCCUCCACUGUCAUCUGCUCCACGUGGUAUCUCCAGGGGGACCUCUCUGCUGGGCUCCAGGCCGCAUAGCUGUGGGCGGCCAGCACGAUGUCCCACCAGGACCCCUGCAGUCCCAGUGCCCCCGCCUGCUCAUCUGGGGACCUGUCCUCACUGCCUGCUGCCUGAACUGUGUGGAAGGACAGAGGCUAAACGAGGAAGCCGGGAACUCUGGUCUCAUGGACAUGGCAGCCUGCCCACCACCCACGCCUGCCCAGCCUUUCUUCACGCAGCGCUUAAAACGUGGAGAGCGGAAUCUUCUGGGCCCAGGUAACACACCUUUGCUCCGACAUUCCCUUCACUACUCACUGGCAAGCUCAGUUGGAAAUUCGCUCCCAGUAGGAGGUUCCGCAGCAGACACAUGGCUUCAGCAGUUCCAGUCUAAAUUUCGAGUGUUGGGCCAAAAACAAACAGGCAAACAGACAGAGAAACAGAAACGAAGGGGACCUCAUACAUAA
ensembl:lncRNA